rnacentral:rRNA from 1 species
CAGCAGCCACGGUAAUACCGAGGGUGCGAGCGUUAAUCGGAUUUACUGGGCGUAAAGCGUGCGUAGGCGGCUUUUUAAGUCGGAUGUGAAAUCCCUGAGCUUAACUUAGGAAUUGCAUUCGAUACUGGGAAGCUAGAGUAUGGGAGAGGAUGGUAGAAUUCCAGGUGUAGCGGUGAAAUGCGUAGAGAUCUGGAGGAAUACCGAUGGCGAAGGCAGCCAUCUGGCCUAAUACUGACGCUGAGGUACGAAAGCAUGGGGAGCAAACAGGAUUAGAGACCCCCGUAGUCCCUGUCUCUUAUAC